AGGUUUUUGUACGGCCACUUAAUGAGUUUGUAUCACUGUGGUGGACUUUUGGUGGAGGAACCAAACUCAUCAUUAACUCUGGCACCAUGGUCAGGCCCUCAGUCUCUCUGCUUCCCCCCUCCUCUGAGCAGCUCUCUGGGGGCUCGGCCACGCUGGCCUGCCUGCUGACCGGCUACUCUCCUCAGGGAGCCGUGGUGAGCUGGCAGGUGGACGGUACGGAGGUGACGGAGGGGGUCCUGAGCAGCUCAGAGGAGGAGAAGAGCGGCCGCUACAGCAGCAGCAGCACCCUGAGCCUGAGCCAGGAGCGCUGGAUGGAAGGAGAGCUGUACUCCUGCAGGGUCCUCCAUCAGGGCCACAGCCAGACCCAGUCCCUCCACAGGAGCCAGUGUAAGGGCUAGAGGGGCCGGCUGAAGCCCAGGACAGGAGCUCUGUGUGGGGGGGAGCAGCUCUGAUCAAUAGCAGUUUGAAUGCUUGUAGAGGAAACUGAAGCUUUGUGUGACAGAGAACAACACUGCUGUAAAGUGUUGGACAACAACAACUUAGAGAGGAAUGUGUGUCGCUCAGC